UACGGAGGGGGCUAGCGUUGUUCGGAAUUACUGGGCGUAAAGCGUGCGUAGGCGGUUCGCUGUGUCCGAUGUGAAAGCCCCCGGGCUUAACCUGGGAAUGGCAUUGGAAACUGGCGGGCUUGAGUGCGGCAGAGGGGGGUGGAAUUCCGCGUGUAGCAGUGAAAUGCGUAGAGAUACGGAGGAACACCGAUGGCGAAGGCAGCCCCCUGGGUCGACACUGACGCUCAGGCACGAAAGCGUGGGGAGCAAACAGG
rnacentral:rRNA from 1 species